UACGGGGGGGAGCAAGCGUUGUUCGGAUUUACUGGGCGUAAAGGGCGCGUAGGCGGCCUCUGCAAGUCGACUGUGAAAUCUCCGGGCUUAACCCGGAACGGUCAGCCGAUACUGCAGGGCUAGAGUGCAGAAGGGGCAACCGGAAUUCCUGGUGUAGCGGUGAAUGCGCAGAUAUCAGGAGGAACACCGAUGGCGAAGGCAGGUCUCUGGGCAUUAACUGACGCUGAGGAGCGAAAGCAUGGGGAGCGAACAGG
rnacentral:rRNA from 1 species